rnacentral:tRNA from 1 species
GGAGAGGUGGCCGAGAGGUCGAAGGCGCACGCCUGGAGAGCGUGUAGGCGGGAUCACUCGCCUCGUGGGUUCGAAUCCCACCCUCUCCGCCA